UACCGAGUUUACACUCCCAAACCCCUGUGAACAUACCUUUUGUUGCCUCGGCGGUGCCCGCUUCGGCCCCCCGCGCAGGACGCAAACCCUUGAUUUUAUUCUUUAUCUUCUGAGUAAAUGAUUAAUUAAAUCAAAACUUUCAACCUUGGAUCUCUUGAUUCUGGGGUCCAUGAAUAACGCAACAAAAUGCGAUAAGGAAUGUGAAUUGGAGAAUUCAAUGAAUCAUCGAAUCUUUGAACCCUCAUUGCGCCCGCCAGUAUUCUGGCGGGCAUGCCUGUUCGAGCGUCAUUUCAACCCUCGAGCUCCCGGGCUUGGUGUUGGAGAUCGGGGUGCCCUCCGGGGCGCGCCGGCUCCCAAAUAUAAUGGCGGUCUCGCUGUGGCUUCCUCGGCGUAAUAGCACACCUCUUAUUGGGAAACAGCGUGGCCAGGCCGUUUCCCCCCCCAUUUUUGAAAGGUU
rnacentral:rRNA from 1 species